rnacentral:other from 1 species
AAUUUCCUGGGAUGUACGAUAACCCUGCAUUUUGAACCUACAAUUUGAAUACGGGAGUUCUACAUUUCCUAGCAGAUGUCAAGCCUUCAAUUGCAGAGGAAGACAGAAGCUAUGUUGCGAACACCCACCUAACGUGAGUUAGGGAUCAAAAUUCAGGAAACGGCAUAUCCGGGUAAUAC